UAUUUAUUGGGCACUUUGAUUUGGCGGAAAAGUUCUUUUGUUCUAAUUUGUGAACAUUUAUCAUGAGGGGUUUCAUUUCGAAUUACUAGUUACACAGUCACUGAGGUGGUGGUUGGAAAGUCUCUUGCUAAGACGGAUGGAGCCAAGAUGAACGUUCAGCCCUAGACCCGAAGGAAGACAAUUUCAUUAUAGUUGCCAGAUAAGAUGAUGUGGUGUCCAAGGAUCGGAACAGCAGGUAUGUUAAGAUAAGAUUGUGUAAUGUUUGUAUGCCUUUUGUCCAAAUUUCCUCUAGGUGGCGUCCCAAGGAUCAGAAGGACAGGUAUGUUCAGAUAAGAUUGUGUAUAUGUGUGUAUGCCUUUUUGUCCAAAUUUCCUCUAGGUGGCGUCCAAGGAUUGGAUGUGCAGGUAUGUUAAGAUAAGAUUGUCUAUAUGUUUGUAUGCCUUUUGUCAGAAUUUCCUCUAGGUGGCCUUCCAAGAAUCGGAACAACAGGUAUGUUAAGAUAAGAUUGUGUGCAUGAUUGUAUGUCUUUUUGUCCAAAUUUCCUUUAGGUGGAGUCCCAAGGAUCGGAACAACAGGUAUGUUAAGAUAAGAUUGUGUAUAUGUUUGUAUGCCUUUUGUCCAAAUUUCCUCUAGGUGGCGUCCAAGAAUCGGAACAACAGGUAUGUUAAGAUAAGAUUGUGUAUAUGUUUGUAUGCCUUUUUGUCCAAAUUUCCUUUAGGUGGAGUCCCAAGGAUCGGAACAACAGGUAUGUUAAGAUAAGAUUGUGUAUAUGUUUGUAUGCCUUUUUGUCCAAAUUUCCUCUAGGUGGCAUCCCAAGGAUCAGAAGGACAGGUAUGUUUGGAUAAGAUUGUGUAUAUGUUUGUAUGCCUUUUUGUCCAAAUUUCCUCUAGGUUGCGUCCCAAAGAUCAGAAGGACAGGUAUGUUAAGAUAAGAUUGUGUGCAUGAUUGUAUGUCUUUUUGUCCAAGUUUCCUCUAGGUGGGCAUCCAAGAAUCGGAUGAGCAGGUAUGUUAAAAUAAGAUUGUGUGUACAUGUUUGUAUGCCUUUUGUCCAAAUUUCUUCUAGGUCAGGCGUCCCAAGGAGUAGAAGGAAAGGUAUGUUAAGAUAAGAUUGUGUAUAUGUUUGUAUGCCUUUUUGUCCAAAUUUCCUCUAGGUGGAGUCCCAAGGAUCAGACAACAGGUAUGUUAAGAUAAGAUUGUGUAUAUGUUUGUAUGCCUUUUGUCCAAAUUUCCUCUAGGUGGCAUCCCAAGGAUCAGAAGGACAGGUAUGUUUAGAUAAGAUUGUGUAUAUGUUUGUAUGCCUUUUUGUCCAAAUUUCCUCUAGGUGGCGUCCCAAAGAUCAGAACAGCAGGUAUGUUAAGAUAAGAUUGUGUAUAUGUUUGUAUGCCUUUUUGUCCAAAUUUCCUUUAGGUGGUGUCCCAAGGAUCAGAACAGCAGGUAUGUUAAGAUAAGAUUGUGUAUAUGUUUGUAUGCCUUUUGUCCAAAUUUCCUCUAGGUGGCAUCCCAAGGAUCAGAAGGACAGGUAUGUUUAGAUAAGAUUGUGUAUAUGUUUGUAUGCCUUUUUGUCCAAAUUUCCUCUAGGUGGCGUCCCAAAGAUCAGAAGGACAGGUAUGUUAAAAUAAGAUUGUGUGCAUGAUUGUAUGUCUUUUUGUCCAAGUUUCCUCUAGGUGGCGUCCAAGGAUAGGAUGAGCAGGUAUGUUAAAUUAAGAUUAUGUAUAUGUUUGUAUGCCUUUUUGUCCAAAUUUCCUCUAGGUGGAGUCCCAAGGAUCGGAACAACAGGUAUGUUAAGAUAAGAUUGUGUAUAUGUUUGUAUGCCUUUUGUCCAAAUUUCCUCUAGGUGGCGUCCCAAAGAUCAGAACAGCAGGUAUGUUAAGAUAAGAUUGUGUAUAUGUUUGUAUGCCUUUUUGUCCAAAUUUCCUUUAGGUGGUGUCCCAAGGAUCAGAACAGCAGGUAUGUUAAGAUAAGAUUGUGUAUAUGUUUGUAUGCCUUUUGUCCAAAUUUCCUCUAGGUGGCAUCCCAAAGAUCAGAAGGACAGGUAUGUUUAGAUAAGAUUGUGUAUAUGUUUGUAUGCCUUUUUGUCCAAAUUUCCUCUAGGUGGCGUCCCAAAGAUCAGAAGGACAGGUAUGUUAAAAUAAGAUUGUGUGCAUGAUUGUAUGUCUUUUUGUCCAAGUUUCCUCUAGGUGGCGUCCAAGGAUAGGAUGAGCAGGUAUGUUAAAUUAAGAUUAUGUAUAUGUUUGUAUGCCUUUUUGUCCAAAUUUCCUCUAGGUGGCAUCCCAAGGAUUGGAACAGCAGGUAUGUUAAGAUAAGAUUGUGUAUAUGUUUGUAUGCCUUUUGUCCAAAUUUCCUCUAGGUGGGCAUCCAAGAAUCGGAUGAGCAGGUAUGUUAAGAUAAGAUUGUGUGUACAUGUUUGUAUGCCUUUUGUCCAAAUUUCCUCUAGGUCAGGCGUCCCAAGGAGUAGAAGGAAAGGUAUGUUAAGAUAAGAUUGUAUAUGUUUGUAUGCCUUUUUGUCCAAAUUUCCUCUAGGUGGAGUCCCAAGGAUUGGAACAACAGGUAUGUUAAGAUAAGAUUGUGUAUAUGUUUGAAUGCCUUUUGUCCAAAUUUCCUCUAGGUGGCGUCCCAAGGAUCGGAACAACAGGUAUGUUAAGAUAAGAUUGUGUAUAUGUUUGUAUGCCUUUUUGUCCAAAUUUCCUCUAGGUGGCGUCCAAGGAUCGGAUGAGCAGGUAUGUUAAGAUAAGAUUGUGUAUAUGUUUGUAUGCCUCUUGUCCAAAUUUCCUCUAGGUGGCCUCCCAAGAAUCGGAACAACAGGUAUGUUAAGAUAAGAUUGUGUAUAUGUUUGUAUGCCUUUUUGUCCAAAUUUCCUCUAGGUGGCGUCCAAGAAUAGAUGAGCAGGUAUGUUAAGAUAAGAUUGUGUAUAUGUUUGUAUGCCUUUUGUCCAAAUUUCCUCUAGGUGGCGUCCCAAGAAUCAGAAGGAAAGGUAUGUUAAGAUAAGAUUGUGUAUAUGUUUGUAUGCCUUUUUGUCAAAAUUUCUUCUAGGUGGCGUCCCAAGGAUCAGAACAACAGGUAUGUUAAGAUAAGAUUGUGUAUAUGUUUGUAUGCCUUUUGUCCAAAUUUCCUCUAGGUGGCCUCCCAACAAUUGAAACAACAGGUAUGUUAAGAUAAGAUUGUCUAUAUGUUUGUAUGCCUUUUGUCCAAAUUUCCUCUAGGUGGCCUCCCAAGAAUCGGAACAACAGGUAUGUUAAGAUAAGAUUGUGUGCAUGAUUGUAUGUCUUUUUGUCCAAAUUUUCUCUAGGUGGCGUCCAAGAAUCGGAUGAGAAGGUAUGCUAAGAUAAGAUUGUGUAUAUGUUUGUAUGCCUUUUGUCCAAAUUUCCUCUAGGUGGCCUACCAAGAAUCGGAACAACAGGUAUGUUAAGAUAAGAUUGUGUGCAUGUUUGUCUUAUAUUAAGAUGAUUUAAGUUUGUAUUACAGAUGGAGGAGCCCAGAUGAAAGUUCAGUACUACCCCUGAAGGAAAACUGGAUCAUUUUAGUUGCCAGAUAAUGAUGAUGCAAAAAGAGCAUGGACACCAAAAAUUGCGCCAUUGAUAAAGAUCUGGAAAGAAGCUUAAAGGAAGGACCAAGUUUCAGUUGAGAUGGCAGAAUCAAGCAGCAAAGGAAAGCAGCUGGAAUGAAGAUUAAUUAUUACAUUGAUCUUCAACCAAGUCUGAGGCUUUGUCAUGAAAAAAAUAAUGCAA